rnacentral:rRNA from 1 species
ACGAACGCUGGCGGCGCGCCUAACACAUGCAAGUCGAACGAGAGAUGAGGAGCUUGCUCUUCAAAUCGAGUGGCGAACGGGUGAGUAACGCGUGAGGAACCUGCCUCAAAGAGGGGGACAACAGUUGGAAACGACUGCUAAUACCGCAUAAGCCCACGGCUCGGCAUCGAGCAGAGGGAAAAGGAGCAAUCCGCUUUGAGAUGGCCUCGCGUCCGAUUAGCUAGUUGGUGAGGUAAUGGCCCACCAAGGCGACGAUCGGUAGCCGGACUGAGAGGUUGAACGGCCACAUUGGGACUGAGACACGGCCCAGACUCCUACGGGAGGCAGCAGUGGGGAAUAUUGCACAAUGGGGGAAACCCUGAUGCAGCGACGCCGCGUGGAGGAAGAAGGUCUUCGGAUUGUAAACUCCUGUUGUUGAGGAAGAUAAUGACGGUACUCAACAAGGAAGUGACGGCUAACUACGUGCCAGCAGCCGCGGUAAAACGUAGGUCACAAGCGUUGUCCGGAAUUACUGGGUGUAAAGGGAGCGCAGGCGGGAGAACAAGUUGGAAGUGAAAUCCAUGGGCUCAACCCAUGAACUGCUUUCAAAACUGUUUUUCUUGAGUAGUGCAGAGGUAGGCGGAAUUCCCGGUGUAGCGGUGGAAUGCGUAGAUAUCGGGAGGAACACCAGUGGCGAAGGCGGCCUACUGGGCACCAACUGACGCUGAGGCUCGAAAGUGUGGGUAGCAAACAGGAUUAGAUACCCUGGUAGUCCACACCGUAAACGAUGAUUACUAGGUGUUGGAGGAUUGACCCCUUCAGUGCCGCAGUUAACACAAUAAGUAAUCUACCUGGGGAGUACGACCGCAAGGUUGAAACUCAAAGGAAUUGACGGGAAGGGC